AGGACGAACGCUGGCGGCAUGCCUUACACAUGCAAGUCGAACGGCAGCACGGGAGCAAUCCUGGUGGCGAGCGGCGAACGGGUGAGUAAUACAUCGGAACGUGCCCAGUAGUGGGGGAUAACCCGGCGAAAGCCGGACUAAUACCGCGUACGACCUACGGGUGAAAGCAGGGGACUCGCAAGGGCCUUGCGCUAUUGGAGCGGCCGAUGGCAGAUUAGCUAGUUGGUGGGGUAAAGGCCUACCAAGGCGACGAUCUGUAGCUGGUCUGAGGGGACGACCAGCCACACUGGGACUGAGACACGGCCCAGACUCCUACGGGAGGCAGCAGUGGGAAUUUGGACAAUGGCGCAAGCCUGAUCCAGCCAUGCCGCGUGCGGGAAGAAGGCCUUCGGGUGUAACCGUCGUUUGUCGAGGAAGAAAGCUCCGGACUAAUAUCUGGAGUCAGUGACGGUACCUAGAAGAA
rnacentral:rRNA from 1 species